CCUACGGGAGGCAGGGGUGGAAGCCUGAUCCAGCCAUGCCGCGUGCAGGAAGACGGCCUUCUGGGUUGUAAACUGCUUUUGCCUGUGGAUAAAAAGACUCUGCGGAGUAAAUUGAAGGUAGCAGGUGAAUAAGCCACGGCUAACUACGAGACAGCAGCCGCGGUAAUA
rnacentral:rRNA from 1 species